AUUGAACGCUGGCGGCAGGCCUAACACAUGCAAGUCGAACGAGUGGCGGACGGGUGAGUAAUGUCUGGGAAACUGCCUGAUGGAGGGGGAUAACUACUGGAAACGGUAGCUAAUACCGCAUACCAUCGGAUGUGCCCAGAUGGGAUUAGCUAGUAGGUGGGGUAAAGGCUCACCUCGGCGACGAUCCCUAGCUGGUCUGAGAGGAUGACCAGCAACACGGGAACUGAGACACGUGCCAGCCUCCAACGGGAGGCAGCGGGGGGGAAUAUGGCACAAGGGGGGCAAGCCUGAUGCAGCCAUGCCGCGUGUAUGAAGAGGGCCUUCGGGUUGUAAAGUACUUUCAGCGGGGAGGCGUUACCCGCAGAAGAAGCACCGCCUAACUCCGUGCCAGCGGCCGCGUAAUUC
rnacentral:rRNA from 1 species